CUGCCGACAGUACAUAGUGUUCCAUGAUAAUAACACCAUUGUGUAUUCAGGUGCCUGUGGGAAUAGCUGCGAGAUCAAGGGAGAACUACUCAGCAAAGAGUCCCUUUCUGGAUCACUGAAAGCUGUCCUACGAGACACCACCAAUGCCAAAGGGGAAAGCACGCAGUUCUUGGAGGUGUGGGACAAGAAUUGCAAAAUAAAGAGCAUCAACCUGACCUCUCUCGAUAAGCAUGGGAAGGUGUAUGAGGAUGACCAGUUUGGAUGUCUGUCCUGGUCCCAUUCCGAAUCUCAUCUAUUGUAUAUUGCCGAAAAAAAGAGACCCAAAACAGAAAGCUUCUUCCAGAUUGAUUCUAAAAAUCUUGGCUCAGGAGUGUCUGAUGGGAAGGAAGAUGCUAUCCCAAAACCUAUCAAGGGUGAUCAGUUUGUGUUCCAUGAGGACUGGGGAGAAGGCCUGGUAAAUAAGAGUGUUCCAGUUUUGUGUGUUAUGGACAUCGAGAGUGGCAACAUUUCUGUACUGGAUGGAAUACCCGAAUAUGUGUCACCAGGACAGGCAUUCUGGUCCCCUGAUGACACUGGAGUUGUGUUUGUCGGCUGGUGGCAUUCCCCUUAUCGACUUGGCUUAAAGUAUUGCCCCAAUAGGAGAUCUGCACUGUUUUUUGUGGACCUGACUGGCGGCAAAUGUGAAACACUCUCCACGGACUUGGCUUCUGUUUUUUCACCCAGAUUGAGCCCUGACAAGUGCCGUAUAGUAUAUCUAAUGUGUGAACAAUUUGGACCUCAUCAGCAGUGCUGCAAACUGCUUAUGUAUGAUUGGUAUACAAAAGUGACCUCCACUGUGGUCAGGGACGUAUUAGCCGCGAGGCAAACAAGGCAUUUGCCUUGGGCGGCAUUUUUCAGGGGGCGGCAAAAAAC